rnacentral:rRNA from 1 species
CAGUAUGGUCAUUACCGAGUUUCACUCCCAACCCCUGUGAACAUACCUAUACGUUGCCUCGGCGGAUCAGCCCGCGCCCCGUAAAACGGGACGGCCCGCCCGAGGACCCCUAAACUCUGUUUUUAGUGGAACUUCUGAGUAAAACAAACAAAUAAAUCAAAACUUUCAACAACGGAUCUCUUGGUUCUGGCAUCGAUGAAGAACGCAGCAAAAUGCGAUAAGUAAUGUGAAUUGCAGAAUUCAGUGAAUCAUCGAAUCUUUGAACGCACAUUGCGCCCGCCAGUAUUCUGGCGGGCAUGCCUGUUCGAGCGUCAUUUCAACCCUCAAGCUCAGCUUGGUGUUGGGACUCGCGGUAACCCGCGUUCCCCAAAUCGAUUGGCGGUCACGUCGAGCUUCCAUAGCGUAGUAAUCAUACACCUCGUUACUGGUAAUCGUCGCGGCCACGCCGUAAACCCCAACUUCUGAAUGUUGACCUCGGAUCAAGUAGGGAUGACAGCUGAACUUAAGCAUAUCAUAAAGCCGGAGGAA